rnacentral:rRNA from 1 species
UACAUGGGGUGCAAACGUUGCUCGGAAUUAUUGGGCGUAAAGCGCGCGUAGGUGGUUACCUAAGUCGGAUGUGAAAGCCCUCGGCUUAACUGAGGAAGUGCACCCGAAACUGGGUAGCUAGAGUACUAAAGAGGGUCGCGGAAUUCCCGGUGUAGAGGUGAAAUUCGUAGAUAUCGGGAGGAACACCGGUGGCGAAGGCGGUUCUCUGGGACGGUACUGACGCUGAGACGCGAAAGCGUGGGGAGCGAACAGG